rnacentral:tRNA from 1 species
GGGGUUGUAACUCAGUGGUAGAGUGCUCACCUGGCAUGCGUGAGUCACUGGGUUCAAUCAUCAGUUGAACCCA